AUAUGAGUGACAAAUCAUCACAC
rnacentral:snRNA from 1 species